AGAGUAUGCCAAGACUGAAUCCUUUACAUCCACCAUUUGUCCAUAAACGCACCGUCAGUCUGGAAACACCAGAUGUUCACCAACACAACCAUCAGAGGGCACUGAUCAUGCAGAGAAGAGAGCAUUGCAGAUAUCAUCAGGUGUGGCGAAAGCCCUUCUAUGGAACCAGCAGUGAGAGAGAAGAGUACAGGAAGGAGUUGCGAGAGCAGUUAAAGAGGCAAAUAGAGGAGAAAUGUGUAGCAAUAAAGCUGCAGCGGGCCAAUAAAACAAAGGAAGCAGAGUUUCUCAGAGAAG